GACGAACCGUGCAAACGUUGUUCGGAAUCACUGGGCUUAAAGGGCGCGUAGGCGGCUUGCAAAGUCAGUGGUGAAAUCCUGCAGCUUAACUGUAGAAGUGCCUUUGAUACUGGCAAGCUCGAGGGAGGUAGGGGUCUGUGGAACUUCUGGUGGAGCGGUGAAAUGCGUUGAUAUCAGAAGGAACGCCGGUGGCGAAAGCGACGGACUGGACCUCUUCUGACGCUGAGGCGCGAAAGCUAGGGGAGCAAACGGG
rnacentral:rRNA from 1 species